rnacentral:lncRNA from 1 species
UACAUUUCUAUAAUCUUGCAUCAACGUUGUAUGAAGAAACUUGACCGAUCAUAGAGCGUAGCCAAAAAUUAGGGGUAUCAUACAUAAGUACACCUGCUAAUUAUAUUCAUCAGGAUUGACCGGAUCCCUACUCAUCAAUCUGUCUUGUCAAUAUUUGUGAUUUAUGUUUCUUUCUUUUAUUUUAUGCUUGUUCCAUUAUAAAAUUAAGUGACUAAUCAAUACUACU